GACAGAGGGUGCAAACGUUGCUCGGAAUUACUGGGCGUAAAGAGCGUGUAGGCGGCCCGGUAAGUCCGUUGUGAAAGUCCAGGGCUCAACCCUGGAAAGCCGAUGGAUACUGCCGGGCUAGAGUUCGGAAGAGGCGAGUGGAAUUCCUGGUGUAGCGGUGGAAUGCGCAGAUAUCAGGAGGAACACCUAUAGCGAAGGCAGCUCGCUGGGACGACACUGACGCUGAGACGCGAAAGCGUGGGGAGCGAACAGG
rnacentral:rRNA from 1 species